AUCGCCUCGAGAAGCCCGGGAGGAGGCGGGGCGCGCGGCGGAGGAACACGCAGGCGCCGCCCUCCUCCCCCCCUUCCCCCGGGGGCGAGGGGGCGGUGAGGGGGGAAGGGAGGCGGGGGGCCGGGCGCCCCCCUGCCGCCGGCCGGACCCCCCGCGGUACUGCGGAGAGCGGGGAGGGGCGGGAGCGGGCUCGGCGACGACGGGUUAGCAAAGGCUCUUUGUUGCUUUCCCACCCCGCCUCCCCAGCCCCCUGGGAUCGGGGCUGCUUCCCCCACCCCGCCCGCAGCUGACUAGGGUUCCUCCCCCGGGGUUGUCCUUGGCCGUCGUUCCCCCCCCCCACCCCGGUCGCCUACCGCUCCCCUGAGACUGGGGGGAGCUCCCAGGCCUCCCCCGCGCCGGAGUGCGGAGACUGGGGCGCCGGGACCUCCCGGCGCGGGACCUGCGGCCACCGGCUUGGGAAGCCAGGAGGCGGCAACCGGGAUGCGUGACUGGGCACAGGGCCGGGCCGCGGGACUCCGGAUCUGCCCGUCCGGGUGCCCUCGUGCGGGGCUUGUCUUCAGCUCGUCCUGUUGCUAUCUCAGGAUCGGGACCUGCCAGUCGAUGGGCAUCCCGGCCAGCCCCACGGCCCGCCCCCGCCGCGCGCCGCUCCCGGCGAUUCCUCCGGGGUGGGGGGAGGGGUGGCGUAUAAAUGUAAAAUAUGGUCAUCAUUGUUCGCUUCGCUCCUUUUCUUCCCGAGGAAUCCCAGUGUGCUGUACCGAUUUAACGAGCUGAUAUGCACACACCAAGUAUAGGGAUGACUUCAUCCCCGAAAGAACGCAGGCAACUCGCGGGGAAACGCAGUCGCCGGGAGACGCGCGCGGCAUAGUGUGCAGCAGCGGGAAUGGAAGAAGAGAAACGCAGCCGCCUCAAACCAACAGCCUUAUAUACUCAGUGACCUGGACCUAUGGCACAGGACCAGGGUGGCCUCAAGUAGUCAAAAGAGCCUGCGAGCCACAACUACUGAAGCCCGCACGCCCUAGAGCCCACGCUCCGCAACAGGAGAAGCCAACGCGAUGAGAAGCCCGAGCACCGCAACCAAGAGUGGGCCCCCGCUCGCCACAACUAGAGAAAGCCCACG